AUAGAGAAUAGUACCGUGAGGGAAAGGUGAAAAGAACCCCGGGAGGGGAGUGAAAUAGAACCUGAAACCCUACACUUACAAGCUGUGGGAGCGCAUUAUUCGCGUGACCGCGUACUUUUUGUAGAACGGGCCAACGAGUUACGUUAUGUGGCAAGGUUAAGCACUUAAGGUGUGGAGCCGAAGCGAAAGCGAGUCUUAACUGGGCGCCAUAGUCACAUGACGUAGACCCGAAACCGGGCGACCUACCCAUGAGCAGGAUGAAGCGAAAGUAAAAUUUCGUGGAGGUCCGAACCCACGUACGUUGAAAAGUGCGGGGAUGACUUGUGGGUAGCGGUGAAAUUCCAAUCGAGCUCGGAGAUAGCUGGUUCUCCCCGAAAUAGCUUUAGGGCUAGCCUUGAAAUUUAGAGAUGUGGAGGUAGAGCACUGAAUGUCCUAGGGGGUAUUGCACUUACCGAAGACUAUCAAACUCCGAAUGCCAUUAUCUUUUGUUCAGGAGUCAGACUAUGGGUGAUAAGGUUCAUAGUCGAAAGGGAAAGAGCCCAGACCGUCAGCUAAGGUCCCUAAAUGUAUGUUAAGUGGUAAAGGAUGUGGGAUUGCACAGACAACCAGGAUGUUGGCUUAGAAGCAGCCACUCAUUUAAAGAGUGCGUAAUAGCUCACUGGUCGAGUGAUCCUGCGCCGAAGAUUUCCGGGGCUAAAACAUACUACCGAAGCUACGGCAUCAUAUGAUGAUGGGUAGGGGAGCUUCCCAUGCAGGCUGAAGCGAUACCGUAAGGAGUCGUGGACAGUAUGGGAGAGAGAAUGUUGGCAUGAGUAGCGAGAUGAGGGUGAGAAUCCCUCAGGCCGUAAACCCAAGGUUUCCAGGGGAAGGUUCGUCCUCCCUGGGUUAGUCGGGACCUAAGCUCAGGCCGAAAGGCGUAGGCGAUGGACAACAGGUUGAGAUUCCUGUACUACCGAUAAUCGUUUGAGAGAAGGGAUGACACAGUAGGAUAAGCUGAGCACACUGUUGGUUAUGUGUGUCUAAGCGUUGAGGCAGACUAGAUAGGCAAAUCCGUUUAGUUAAUGCUGGGGCGCGAUGGGGAGCGAAACUAAGUAGCGAAGCAGCUGAUUUCACACUGUCGAGAAAAGUCUCUAUCGAGAUUAAAGGUACCCGUACCGCAAACCGACACAGGUGGGUGAGGAGAGUAUCCUAAGGCCAGCGAGAGAACUGUUGUUAAGGAACUCGGCAAAAUGACCCCGUAACUUAGGGAUAAGGGGUGCCCCAGCAAUGGGGCCGCAGAGAAUUGGCCCAAGCGACUGUUUACCAAAAACAUAGGUUUCUGCUAAGUCGCAAGACGAUGUAUAGGAGCUGACGCCUGCCCGGUGCUGGAAGGUUAAGGGGAUCUGUUAGAGCAAUCGAAGCAGUGAUCUUAAGCCCCAGUAAACGGCGGCCGUAACUAUAACGGUCCUAAGGUAGCGAAAUUCCUUGUCGGGUAAGUUCCGACCCGCACGAAAGG
rnacentral:rRNA from 1 species